UAUAAGGGAUUUUGAGUUUUUGCUUGCAACGUUUGACCACUCGUCUUAUUCAAAUUCUUUUUACAAAUAUAAAAACAAAAAGUUGUGCUUAAAGUACUGUAGAUAAUAAAGUAAGUCACAAAUAAAAUAAAUAAUAAUUUCAAAAAAAUUUGAAUAAGACGAGUGGUCAAACGUUACAAGCAAAAACUCAAAAUCCCUUAUA
rnacentral:pre_miRNA from 1 species